UGGGGAAUAUUUCGCAAUGGGGGCAACCCUGACGAAGCAAUAGCCAGCGUGGAUGAAGAAGGCCUUCGGGUUGUAAAGUCCUUUCGUGGAGGACGAAAAGGUGGGUUCUAAUACAAUCUGCUAUUGACGUGAAUCCAAGAAGAAGCACCGGCUAACUCCGUGCCAGCAGCCGCGGUAAUACGGGGGGUGCAAGCGUUAAUCGGAAUCACUGGGCGUAAAAGGUAAGUAGACGGUACGUUAGGUCUGUCGUGAAAUCCCCGGGCUCAACCUGGGAAUGGCGGUAGAAACCGGCGCACUAGAGUAUGGGAGAGGGUGGUGGAAUUCCAGGUGUAGCGGUGAAAUGCGUAGAUAUCUGGAGGAACAUCAGUGGCGAAGGCGGCCACCUGGCCAAUACUGACGCUGAGGGCACGAAAGCGUGGGGAGCAAACA
rnacentral:rRNA from 1 species